rnacentral:tRNA from 1 species
AUCUUUCUAGUAUCAAACUAAUACAAGUGACUUCCAAUCAUUUAAUCCUGGUUAAAGCCCAGGGAAAGAUA